UACGUAGGGUGCGAGCGUUAAUCGGAAUUACUGGGCGUAAAGCGUGCGCAGGCGGUUUUGUAAGCCAGAUGUGAAAGCCCCGGGCUUAACCUGGGAAUGGCAUUUGGGACUGCAAGGCUUGAGUGCGGCAGAGGAGACUGGAAUUCCUGGUGUAGCGGUGAAAUGCGCAGAUAUCAGGAGGAACACCAAUGGCGAAGGCAGCUCGCUGGGACGUGACUGACGCUGAGACGCGAAAGCGUGGGGAGCAAACAGG
rnacentral:rRNA from 1 species